CAGCAGCCGCGGGAAUACGUAGGGUGCGAGCGUUGUCCGGAAUUACUGGGCGUAAAGAGCUCGUAGGCGGUUUGUCGCGUCGUCUGUGAAAUUCUGCAGCUUAACUGCAGGCGUGCAGGCGAUACGGGCAGACUUGAGUACUACAGGGGAGACUGGAAUUCCUGGUGUAGCGGUGAAAUGCGCAGAUAUCAGGAGGAACACCGGUGGCGAAGGCGGGUCUCUGGGUAGUAACUGACGCUGAGGAGCGAAAGCGUGGGUAGCGAACAGGAUUAGAUACCCGAGUAGUCCCUGUCUCUUAUAC
rnacentral:rRNA from 1 species